UACGGGAGGCAGCAGUGGGGAAUAUUGCACAAUGGGCGCAAGCCUGAUGCAGCCAUGCCGCGUGUAUGAAGAAGGCCUUCGGGUUGUAAAGUACUUUCAGUCGUGAGGAAGGUGUUAAGGUUAAUAACCUUAGCAAUUGACGUUAGCGACAGAAGAAGCACCGGCUAACUCCGUGCCAGCAGCCGCGGUAAUACGGAAGGUGCGAGCGUUAAUCGGAAUUACUGGGCGUAAAGGGCACGCAGGCGGUUAAUUAAGUUGGAUGUGAAAUCCCCGGGCUUAACCUGGGAAUGGCAUUCAAGACUGGUUAGCUAGAGUCUUGUAGAGGGGGUAGAAUUCCAUGUGUAGCGGUGAAAUGCGUAGAGAUGUGGAGGAAUACCGGUGGCGAAGGCGGCCCCUGGACAAAGACUGACGCUCAUGUGCGAAAGCGUGGGGAGCAAACAGGGAUUAGAUACC
rnacentral:rRNA from 1 species